ensembl:lncRNA
GGGGGUGACUGGGUGACAGGCACUGAGGGGGGCACUUGACGGGAUGAGCACUGGGUGUUAUUCUGUAUGUUGGCAAAUUGAACACCAAUAAAAAAUAAAUUUAUUAUUUAAAACAAAAACUACAGCUACUUAUGAUAAAAAUUAAAUAGUAACUCCAGUGAUCCUGAAAAUGAAGAAUUAGAGAAGACUUAAAAAAAUAAAAUAAAAAAGAGGAAGUCCCGCAUUGCUUCAGGUGAUGCACCUCGGCCUGUUCCCGGAACCUCGGGUCCCAGAACUACUCCUUCCUCUCUCAGGUCUGAGGCUGGUGCAGGCCCGGCGGAGGGGACCGGGGCGCUGGCGGGAGCCCGGGAGCCAGGAGCGCAUGCGCCGCGAGUGGGCGGUUCCCUUGUCCCCCGCGGCUCCUUCAGCGCCUGCGCCGCCCGCACCGCAGGCUGCCGUCCUCUGGCGCAGAGUUCAGAUCACUGUUGAGUCCAGGUUCAGCAAAAACAGCCAGGCCAACAAGUUAGAAGCACUCCCAGCUGCUUGAGCUUGCACAUUGAAUUCAGUCACUGGUUAAUGCAUGGGAUGAAAUACAUAUAACUAGUGCCAUGUAAUCAGUACCAGAGGUGAGUGUCCUUCUUCUUUUCCCUUUGGGCAAGAAGAAAUUAAAGUUCUAUUAAUGCAACAAAUACUUCAACAGGCUCUGAACUUUAGGUAAGUAAGAUCUAUCCCCUGAUAGGAAGGGCUUCAGCCAGUAAUUUUAAGAGCAAAGUUGUACAGUGUAAUGAUAACACAAGUGGUAUAUUCCCAGUUGUGACAAGCAUGAUGCAUGCAUCUUUUUUGAAAUUUGACCCCCAAAAUAGUAGGCCUGAGGGUGGCUCUGGCUCUAGCCUGCUUCUGACAGAAAAGACUUUUUCUUUACACAUGCAUAUGGCCAACUUUAAUCAGCAGUUUUUUCUUUUGGUGAUGUUUUUGCAAUCGCCAACCCAGGCCACCUCUAUCUCAUCAGUGACAUCAGGUCAACAGAGUACAGGGUAAUCAUUGGAAUUCAAAGCUGGCAUAAGAGCUGAGAUAUCUCCUUACGCAUCCCCUUAUCCUUGCCAAUGCAAUCAAAUUAGUUCUGUUAACAGCUUGCCAAAUGAACCAGCCUAGUAAACUCCUCUCUCAGAAAGGAAAUAUAGACAUUCAUAUUGUUUUUCUCCCCUCAGUGUGAUCUUGGGAACCUUGCCAAGGGGUCUGAUGGCUGUCGUCUGAUGAUGCCAUGUGAAGUCUUUAAUAAGCUGACAUUUCCUGUUGCUAAGUUGCCAUGUCUGAAAGCCAAACUAAAUAGUGUUAGGGUUCUUUGGAAACCAGACUCUGUUUUUGUCUCUUUCUCUUCCUUCUCGUGACCCAGUUCUCAGCUCUGCCCACCUUGUUUCUCCAUCUAGCUUGUGUAUAUGUGCAAUACAAAGGUCAGAUGGCAGGCACUGCCUCCCAACCAGACUGAACCUACUGAAAAACCUUUGAGAGCAUAGCUGCCUGGGCUGCGAUGGUGGCUUUGUUAUGAGACACAGAGGGAAUAUUGGCUGGGAGUGUUUCCAGAGACCAGGAGAAACUGUUUCUUGAGAAAGCAAACGAGAGCUUGUCAUUUGGGUUAGUGGAGGAGGCAAUAAGCUUUUCUGUUUCUAAGUUCUCAUGACUGUUAAUUGAAACAUGAAUAAAAUGCUAAAGUCAAGGAAGUACA